GUUAACUAAGUAUUGUUUGAUAGGGCAAGGAAUUGAUUUCCUCUUAGCACUUGGUUUUACACCUACUUGUUGUGCAUUUUUGUUAUUUAUUAAAAAGUAAAAUUCAUCUUGUGCAUUUUUGAUGAUUUUGAUUUUGAACAACAGAUUGGUACCUGGUGUGAGGAAUUACAUCGAUGCCAAAAAACAGAAGAUAUUACCUGGUUGAGAAGGCAAAAGAACUCUUGGUGUAAGGUGUAGGUGAUAUGCUUCUGCCAAGGCAAUAGCGUGGAUGGAUUUUAUUAAGCAAGAGCUUCUUUAUUGGGUUUUGUUAUAUGUAUGGCCAAGGGCUUUAUUUGUAAUGAGCUGUGCUCACUUUUGUGUAAUCAAGCAAUGACUUGGGAAGAUGUAAGCCUACAUGGCAUUUAACUGUAUGAAAGACUUUUAUAAACAAACUCUGAUGAAUGAAAGUAUUUUAUUUCUGUUA